AGCAGCCGCGGUAAUUCCAGCUCCAAUAGCGUAUAUUAAAGUUGUUGCAGUUAAAAAGCUCGUAGUUGAACUUCAGGCCUGGCUGGACGGUCCGCCCUCUGGGUGAGCACUGUCUGUGGUCGGGUCCUACCUUCUGGCGAAGCGGCAUGGCCUUAACCGGCCGUGGCGGGGAACCAGGACUUUUACUGUGAAAAAAUUGAGUGUUCAAAGCAGGCACGCGCUUGAAUACAUUAGCAUGGAAUAAUGGAAUAGGACAAUGGUUCUAUUUGUUGGUUUCUAGGACCGUUGUAAUGAUUAAUAGGGAUAGUUGGGGGCAUUAGUAUUCAAUUGUCAGAGGUGAAAUUCUUGGAUUUAUUGAAGACUAACUACUGCGAAAGCAUUUGCCAAGGAUGUUUUCAUUAAUCAAGAACGAAGUUAGGGAUCGAAGACGAUCAGAUACCGUCGUAGUCUUAACCAUAAACUAUGACCGACUAGGAAUCGAAGACGAUAGUUUAAUUUUUUAAUGUACUCGUUUUGGCUA
rnacentral:rRNA from 1 species